rnacentral:misc_RNA from 1 species
CGCACAUUGCGCCCUUUGGCAUUCCGAAGGGCAUACCUGUUCGAGCGUCAUUUUAAAUCUUCAAGCGUAGCUUGGUCUUGGGCGUCUUGUCUUGUUAGACUCGCCUUAAAAUUAUGGGCGUUACCCUGCCAAUUAUGGAGCACAGUACAUUGUUGCAGCCUUAUUAGAGCAGACGUAGUUGCCAAAAUAAAUUUUUUUUUCUAGUUUGACCUCGGAUCAGGUAGGGAUACCCGCUGAACUUAA